rnacentral:rRNA from 1 species
UGGGGAAUAUUGCACAAUGGGGGAAACCCUGAUGCAGCGACGCCGCGUGGAGGAAGAAGGUCUUCGGAUUGUAAACUCCUGUUGUUGAGGAAGAUAAUGACGGUACUCAACAAGGAAGUGACGGCUAACUACGUGCCAGCAGCCGCGGUAAAACGUAGGUCACAAGCGUUGUCCGGAAUUACUGGGUGUAAAGGGAGCGCAGGCGGGAGAACAAGUUGGAAGUGAAAUCCAUGGGCUCAACCCAUGAACUGCUUUCAAAACUGUUUUUCUUGAGUAGUGCAGAGGUAGGCGGAAUUCCCGGUGUAGCGGUGAAAUGCGUAGAGAUCGGGAGGAACACCAGUGGCGAAGGCGGCCUACUGGGCUUUAACUGACGCUGAGGCACGAAAGCAUGGGUAGCAAACAGGAUUAGAUACCCUGGUAGUCCAUGCCGUAAACGAUGAUUACUAGGUGUGGGGGGACUGACCCCUUCCGUGCCGCAGUUAACACAAUAAGUAAUCCACCUGGGGAGUACGGCCGCAAGGUUGAAACUCAAAGGAAUUGACGGGGGCCCGCACAAGCAGUGGAGUAUGUGGUUUAAUUCGAAGCAACGCGAAGAACCUUACCAGGUCUUGACAUCCUGAGAAUCCUUAAGAGAUUAGGGAGUGCCUUCGGGAACUCAGAGACAGGUGGUGCAUGGUUGUCGUCAGCUCGUGUCGUGAGAUGUUGGGUUAAGUCCCGCAACGAGCGCAACCCUUGCUAUUAGUUGCUACGCAAGAGCACUCUAAUAGGACUGCCGUUGACAAAACGGAGGAAGGUGGGGACGACGUCAAAUCAUCAUGCCCCUUAUGACCUGGGCUACACACGUACUACAAUGGCCAUUAACAGAGGGAAGCAAAACCGCGAGGCAGAGCAAACCCCUAAAAAUGGUCCCAGUUCGGAUUGUAGGCUGCAACCCGCCUACAUGAAGUUGGAAUUGCUAGUAAUCGCGGAUCAGCAUGCCGCGGUGAAUACGUUCCC